rnacentral:rRNA from 1 species
UGCAUAUCAAUAAGCGGAGGAAAAGAAACCAACAGGGAUUGCCUCAGUAACGGCGAGUGAAGCGGCAACAGCUCAAAUUUGAAAUCUGGCCCCAGGCCCGAAUUGUAAUUUGUAGAGGAUGCUUUUGGUGCGGUACCUUCCGAGUUCCCUGGAACGGGACGCCUUAGAGGGUGAGAGCCCCGUACGGUUGGAUGCCUAGCCUCUGUAAAGCUCCUUCGACGAGUCGAGUAGUUUGGGAAUGCUGCUCUAAAUGGGAGGUAAAUUUCUUCUAAAGCUAAAUACCGGCCAGAGACCGAUAGCGCACAAGUAGAGUGAUCGAAAGAUGAAAAGCACUUUGAAAAGAGGGUUAAAUAGUACGUGAAAUUGUUGAAAGGGAAGCGCUUAUGACCAGACUUUUGCCCUGCGGAUCAUCCGGUGUUCUCACCGGUGCACUUCGCUUGGUUUAGGCCAGCGUCGAUUUUGGUAGGGGGAUAAAGGCUGGGGAAACGUAGCUCUUCCGGGAGUGUUAUAGUCCCCUGCGUAAUACCCUUACCGGGAUCGAGGUUCGCGCUCUGCAAGGACGCUGGCAUAAUGGUCAUCAGUGACCCGUCUUGAAACACGGACCA